GGGACAAAGACCUGGGAAAUAUAUGUUAUGUUCAGAUUCCACUGCUGCACUAAUGGCAAUAAAGGGUAGGAGGAGUGAAGCCAGAUCUGAUUUAGUUUUAGAAAUUCUUGUUACAUUGUAUCGGGUGAUAAAAAUGAGGUACACGGUGGGGUUUAUGUGGCUUCCAGCAUAUAAAGGGGUUCAGGGGAAUGAAGAGGCUGAUGAGAUGGGGAAAUUAGCUACACGCAAGAGAGAAGUUGACUUGAAUGUAACGUAUGGAAGAGUUGAGUGUAAGAGUUUUAUACAGCAAAAAAUAUCACAAAUAUGGCAGAAAGAAUGGGAGGAAGGGAAUAAGGGCAGGCAUUAUAUUUCAAUUCAGCCUACUUUAAUGCACACAACAUUCACAAGAUUAGAGAGGAGGGAUAGUGUGAUAUUCACAAGAUUACGAUUGGGUCAUUGUGCACUGAAUUUUGGGCUGGCAAGGGUUGGCAAGCAUCCAGAUGGCAGAUGUUUGUGUGGAGAGCUGGAGUCUGUGAAACAUGUAAUUAUGGAGUGUGUAAUUCACAGUGUUGCAAGAAGCCACAUGUUUUCUGAGCUGUUGGAGUCUGGAUUCCCAUCUAUAUCUUUGAAACUAAUUCUUGAAAAUAAGGACUUUGAGACCACAAAGAUUGUUUUAAACUUUUUACUUCACACUGGUCUUUAUAAGAGGAUUUAAUAAAAUUGAAGUGCAUCCGAUGACCUGAGGAGGGCAGCAAUACGCCUUUGGAGCGUCUAAGCUGCCGCAAAUUUCACAAGAAGAAGAAGAAGAAGAAGAAGAGGUUGGUUGUGCUUUCUCUCGCUCUUCAAACAAGCGUAAAGGAUCAACCGAGGGGCCAGCCGCAGGAAGCGCAAUGAGCAUAAUGUUUGAUCAAUUUAGCCUUCUUCACAAAUCAACACGACUUGCAUAAAAUAAUAUUUAUGGAUGAGAAAAAAACAAAGAAAAAAAAAAACACGUCAUGCAUUUUACCAUACUAAUUUAAAAAAAAAUUACCCUAGAUAAAUGUGCGCUAUUGAUUACAAUAAAUAAAUAAAUAAAUAAAUAAUAUAAAAAAACAAACAGAAUGCGCAUUUCAUCUCUGGCUUAAGAAGGAAGGCUUCACAAAAAUGAACCGAGACUAAGCGAAUAGUUGCCUCAUUAAUGGUAAAAAUAUCUAUAAAAUGCUUUAAAUUACUACUUUAAAACGAAAUAAUUCAAAUCGAAAACAAACUCUUAUUAGCCUAUGUAAUCCGUAAAGUGGUGAAUACAUGUUAGAACAACUUUUUUAUGAUUUCUUCAAAGUAUCCGUGGAUAUGUGGACAAGAAGCAAUUGCUUACAGAAUUUUUUAUAUCAUUUGUAUAAAUGUUUACUUUUUGGAAUAAAAAGCUAUACAUAAGAAAGGUAAAAAGCACUUAAUUGCUAAUUAAACAUAAUUGAGGAUAAUUGUAAACAAAAAUAGAGAAUGAAUAGGUAUAAUAAAGCUCAAAUUAGUGUAUGGAAUGUGCUGGAAACCCUUGCAGCAAACGCAGACGUCACGUAUACGUCACGUCCAGGCAGUCGAACUGUAAUGUGGCAGACGCAGACGUGACGUUCAGUGAGACGAGUGCAUGUUGCAACGAACGCCAUAAUUGUGCAUUUAUGGCAAGCCAAAGUACUCACAAACGCCUGGUCGGACGUCUGAUUGCACACUGACGCGUCAAAAGCGCGCGUUUUGACAGCAAAACGCGCGUCCUCGACGUGUGAUUUGCGUUAAGAACACGCGUUCUUAACGCGCGCUUUGGUAUCAUGGGAAACGCGCGUCAAGAACGCGCGUUUUUGUGUGCCAAAACGCGCGUUCUCGGCGUGUGAUUUGCAAUUAAAACGCGCGUUCUGGACGUGCGCUUUGGAGUGACCAAAAACGCGCGCUUUUGACGUGCGUUUAUCAUAACAAAAAUGGGCGUCGAAUACGUGCGUUUUGAGUCAGACAAAACGCUCGUUAUGAACGUGUGAACAGGUAAACCAAACAGGCAGUGCAAACGUGUGUUUAAAGUGUCCAUCAGGCGAAGAGAACGCGCUCUUUCCUUAGAGUUCUCAAAAGUGCAUGUCGAAAGCGUGUGCUCACUCUUUAGGGCUUUGAGUCUGUUAUGUUUUUGUCCGCUAUAGGUUUAGGACAGUAUUAUCAUUAAACUCAAUCAAAACAACAUGGAAUUGUCGAGGAUAAAUUUGGCAGAUGAUUAUAAUGGUUGAGUUAUAAUCCAUAAUAAUUAAUAUGAAAUAUGCAUAUGAAAACGUAAAACUAUUAUUUAAAAUAGCCGUGGGGGAUUACAGUGGAUAUUCCUUAGAUCAAGGCCAAAACUUUGUAAAUUUGUAAGGAGCCAAUAAAAUACUACACCAUAUGUGUGAUCAUCUUGGCUAUAUAUUACGGUGGCGUAUUGCCUCAUACAUAAUAUUUUUUCCCUCAAUUAUGUCGUUAAGACAUCUUUUCUCGUAAUAACGAGAAUUUAUGUUGUUAAGACAUCUUUUCUCGUAAUAACGAGAUGUUAUGCCGUUAAAACGACAUUUUGUUGGCAUAUAUGACGUGAAUGUAUAGGCUAUACCUUUAUCUGAUCUAUAAUAGAGAAUUUAUCAUGCCUUUAUCACACUUCCGCACUCGAAAAGCAGAAGCAAAUAUAGUGUAAAAUACCUUUAGAUGCCUGUAUCGAUGGCAAUGCCCAUAGAGUUAUGAACACAAUAUUAUUGUUUUAUUGCCGUGUAGCCUAUGCAGUUUCUAAUAGCCUAAUAAAACACAGUUUUAUUAUUUAGCAUUACUUACUUUCUGGAAAAUAACUCGCACCUGAUUAUGCCACAUGCACAAAGUCAGAAUUAAGUUUUUGAGAGAAAAAAAUUAUCAUUGGUGUUUCAGUCGCAUUUUAUUAUAGGUCUAUUCAAAAAUAAUUUUGCUAAAAUACACAGGCCUGCAAAAAAAUACAAAAAUAAUGCUAUAUUGUCAUAGACCUAUUUAUCAAAAUAAAACUGAUGAAUGAAAGUGGAGACAAUACCUCAAAAAAGGUCUUCUGUGAACAAAGAAAAAACAAGAUGAAAUCUUAUAAAAGGAAUAAAUAGCCUAUUUCUAGCUAGGCAUACACGAAAUAUAUUAAACCUAAAUAAUUAACAUAUUAAGAAAAUGAAAGAAAAAAAAUGUGACAAGUAGACCAUAUGAUGAGUUUCGAUUCAUUUUUGAGAAGUUCACGGAAAGGCAUUGCUUGUCUUUAUUGUUCAAGCAAUGUUUUAUUGUGUGACUACAAAUAAUAGUUACAAUAAUAGUUAUACCUACACAGAUUCGAAUGGUGUUACUCUUAUGACCAUAAAUGUCUGAGUAUUUUAAGUUGUUUAUGCUUUUAUAAGAAAAUUCAAGUGAACGCGCCGGCGCCAUAUCAGUUUUAGCUAGGCUACUAUAACUUGACAUCGCAUGCAGCCUGUUUAUUGUCAAAACAAAAUACAUUCAACCAAAUACAGAAAAAGCCACUGCUCAUUUUAGUCUGUGUACAAUCAGGGCUGAAUUUCCCGAAACCUUGUUAACUCUACGUCGUUAACGUUAAUACAUGUUUCCCGAAACGUUCUUGUAUACCUUCUGUAAGUCAUACUUUCGUAAGGUUGGUCUGGACCACUCUUAACUAUACCUUAUCACUGCUGACAGUCUAUACGAAUAUAAUUCUGAAGUUGUAAUGCACCCAGUGUUCAAUUAGGAUAAUGACAAAGAAUAAAAUGCAAAGAUUCACUUCAAAUGUGCUUUAGCUCUGAUCCAGAGACAGACGCGCUCAGCUCUUGUCAUAUAUCACAACUAUAUUUAGUGUUUUCAACCCCACAUCAGGUUUAUUUAGAUUUCAGUCAUUUAAAUACACAUAUGAAUGAGGCACUAGGCUAUAUAAAAAUACAUUUAUAGUUUGUUAAAUUCAAAUUCAAUACACCGAUGUCUAUAGAAGCUGCAAUAAUAACCCUUUCAAUUAUAUAAUUUGACGAAGUGUUUUAUUAAUAUCAGAUACACAUUGUGUAUGAAACAUAAGUUUACUCUAUUCUUCUCCCAGUUCACCAGCCACAUACUUUAAUGUAUUUCGGGGAAAAUUAAGUAAAUCCGACAGCUCUGAAUUGCGGUGCAAACUCAUCGCGCGACAAAAAUUCACUUCCACAUAUUUUACAAUCGGAAUAUAUCAUAAAAUGCUUGGUGUAGUUAACAAGUUUGUGAAUAUUUUGAAUAACAAAGGAAAAACGAUAUAAACGAGUUACAUACAUAUCUGCCAGCUGCAUGACGUGUCUCCAAGGAAUUAAUACAUUCUAAAAUUAUGUUCUAAAUAACUGUCGCCUUAAACUCGCGCUGAUAGGGGCCCGGCACCCCCAGAAUAUAGAUAAAUUACAAGAUAGAUUUAGCUUGUAAUUUGGAUUAUUUUUAUAAGAUCCAAUGAGUCCUGAUAAAUGCAUUUUCUACUUCUGAAGUGCUUCUUUUUAUAAAGAACACUGAUUUCUCACAUAACAUAGUGAAGCAGCCCCUGUAUAGAGUGAAUUAUCGAUUCUCGAGCCAUCGAUAUCAACCAAUUCAGCUUCAGUGCCAUGGGCAGCACCUGGUAACGUCGCACUUAAGAAGGUAUAUCUUAAGCAACCUCCUAAGGUAUAGUUCGGGGAACAUGCCUGAAAAAGGUAUACAUUCAGUUAAGGUAUACUUUAGGGUCUUCGUAGCGCGCUGAGAGACAACGUUAUCGGGAAAUCCAGCCCAGGGUUGCGUUUCCCAAAAGCAUCGUAAGCUUAAGUUGAUCGUAGCUCUAUUGAAACCAAUGGAGCUUGGAGCUACGAUCAACUUAGGCUUACGAUGCUUUUGGGAAACGCUACCCAGAGCGUUUAAAUAAUAAAUAGGCUAUAGGAUCCAAAUAGUGCAUAUGGAAACAUUUGGAUUUAUGCCAAAUGGGUUUCUAUUUCAGUUUAGCUUUAAAUUAAUUUGUUUUGGGGUUGACGUUUAUAUAUUAUAUUUGUCAUUAUUGUUCUGUUUUUCUGAAUACCAUUAAAUUUAAAAGAUUUGUAGCGCAAGGGGAACUAAAAAAGCCUACGCAGUGGUGGGAUUAAAUACCCCUAUGCCAACCUGAAGCCGGGCUAGCCGGUAAAAACGAAAUUUUUACAAAAAAAUAUGCUAAACAUGUAUUUUAGGCUAUUUCCACAACAAAUCCUUUAAAUUGUUCUAUACAAAAUAUAAGUAUUAAAUAAACAUAAAUUAUAUUGGCAUUCAUUACCUACAAACAAUAUUUUAAAGCCUAAACUACUAAAUUUUGUUAUACAUUCAAGUUAAUUUUACUGCACAGAAAUAGAGUUUAAAAAAAAAAAUAGUGUUCAAAAGAUUACAUGUAUUAGAAAAAAUAUUAAAAAGAAAAUGUUAGCCACAUAUUGCCAAUCUAGACAAAUACAUCCCAAAAAUAGCCCAAAGUUUGUCGAUAUUCUUAUUGAAUAUUCAUGAAUAUUUAGAAUGAUUAGAAAUAAAUUCAACAGGGAUUGACUUGAUAUAGGCCUCCUAUGUAUUGUUCAUGCAUAACAUUUAUUAAAUAGGCCUAUAUCGGCCUAUAGCAUAUAUAUAUUUUUAAAUCCCUCAUUUGGGGCUGAGCCCCACUAAUAUUGAAAUUAUCAACCCUGUUCCAAACAUGUUUUUGCGCAUGUGAGUGCUGUUUUGGGACACGAAAGCAUUGUUUAACAACAUAAUAGGCGUAAAUAUAUUUUAAUGUCCAAGUGCUAAUACACAAUUGGAUUUGUGCCGAAUGAGAGCCCAACAGUGUCAAUUUAAAUACAUUUUUUUUAGGCUUUUAAAUAAAUAUUGUUUGUAAUGAAUGCCAUAAUUUGUUUAUGAUUAUUUUAUACUUUUUAUAACAAUUUUCAGUCUUGUUUUGUAUUGAAUACCAUUAUGGAUUUGUUGUGGAGAUAGCCUAAAAUACAUGUUUAAAGCUUAAUGCUUGUAUAAUGUGUGACAUAAAAGACCAAACUCAGUAAACACCAUACUAAACCAUACUAUGUACAGCAAAGCAGAUGAGCCCAGAAUAUGAACGCAGUUCGUUUAAUUAGCCUACAUUAAGUGUUUUUCUCUUAUAGAAAACCGUUAUAAAGAAAAAGCUCAAGGUCGCUUAAUGUAGCCUACUAAGUGAUAGGCUAUUAAAAGAUCAAAUUCUGCACGAAUACAGUUUUCUGUGUAGUACCUAUGCUUUCUUAGUAGGCUACAACGUUUAAUAUAUAGGCUAGGCCUACACAUUUUUCUGGACAUCGCUCAUUGUUUCUACCUUAAUACAUUGUUUAAAUUAAUAUGUUAGCUAACUACAUAUAGCCUAUGUAGGCUAUAUAUGUCUGAAAUUAGGCCAUAACUUGUACAGUCACCUUUGAUAACAGAUUAGGUACUCCAAAUUGUAAUGUUAAAGCAUUUCCUAUAAAGCUGCUUUAAAACUAUAGGCCUAAGUAUUGUGAAAAGCGCUAAAAAAAUAAAUGUAAAUUGAACCGAUAUAGGCUAUAUGAGCUCUAUAGAUCAGAUAAAGGUAUAAAGGUAUUUUUCGUACACGUCACGUACAAAAUAUGUGAUUUUAACGACAUAACAUCUCGUUAUUACGAGAAAAGAUGUCUUAAUGACAUAAUUGAGGGGAAAAAAAUAUUAUUUAUGAGGCAAUGCGCCACCGUAAUAUAUAGCCAAGAUGAUCAUACAUGUCGUUAUUGGCUCCUUACAAACUUACAAAGUUUUGGCCUUGAUCGAAGGAAUAUCCACUGUAAUCCCCCACGGCUAUUUUAAAUAAUAGUUUUACGUUUUCAUAUGCAUAUUUCAUAUUAAUUAUUAUGGAUUAUAACUCAACCAUUAUAAUCAUCUGCCAAAUUUAUCCUCGACAAUUCCAUGUUGUUUUGGUUGAGUUUAAUGAUAAUACUGUCCUAAACCUAUAGCGGACAAAAACAUAACAGACUCAAAGCCCUAAAGAGUGAGCACACGCUUUCGACAUGCACUUUUGAGAACUCUAAGGAAAGAGCGCGUUCUCUUCGCCUGAUGGACACUUUAAACAUACGUUUGCACUGCCUGUUUUGUUUACCUGUUCACACGUUCAUAACGAGCGUUUUGUCUGACUCAAAACGCACGUAUUCGACGCCCAUUUGUGUUAUGAUAAACGCACGUCAAAAGCGCGCGUUUUUGGUCACUCCAAAGCGCACGUCAAGAACGCGCGUUUUAAUAGCAAAUCACACGCCGAGAACGCGCGUUUUGGUACACAAAAACGCGCGUUCUUGACGCGCGUUUCCCAUGAUACCAAAGCGCGCGUUAAGAACGCGUGUUCUUAACGCAAAUCACACGUCGAGGACGCACGUUUUGCUGUCAAAACGCGCGCUUUUGACGCGUCAGUGUGCAAUCAGACGUCCGACCAGCCGUUUGUGAGUACUUUGGCUUGCCAUAUGCAUUGGCUCACGCCGUGUGAGGACCGUGUUCUGAUACAUGUUAGCGAAAAAAUAAAUAAAUAACUUAACUGCUACAUGUGAAUCACGCGUGAACCUCUGACUCCACACUUCACUGCCACACGUGAUUUACGUGACGUCUGAGUGAUGUCUACGCCUCGUCUGCGUCUUAAAAUGAAUGGAUUUAAUAGCAAAAAAUUAUAACGUCAGUGAGACGUUCAUUGAGACGAGUGCAUGUUGCAACGUCAUAUUUUAGACCUCGUCCGAACGCCAUACUAAUCCGUUAACAUGGGUGUGUAAAAAAAUACGCAACGCAUACGCACUGCAGACGGAUUAUGUGUGAAACAGGCGUUAGUCUGGCGCUGUCGUCCUCAGACUGUCAUGACGUAUGGUUCUGCGGUUCUGCAGUUGGUUAUUAUUGAAGGGGAGAGACGUGUAUCCCAAAAAAAUUAAUUAUGCUCUGUGUAUUUCUGCAGGUAUGUUCGUUGUUUAUUGUGUUAUGUGUUGAGAAAUGUUUGAAAUGUGUUUACUAUCGAGUUUAUACAAGUUUAAUAGAUAUAAUAAAAGAGUGAGGUAUAUGCAAACUAGAUGUCAAAUUGAAUAUUUUUUUCAAUUUUAUUGUGUAAAAUCUGUAACUUUUGACAUUUUCCCCCAUUUAAUUAAUUCACUGAUGCGAGUAAGCGGUGAGGAAACUAUAUUUUCCUUUUUUAUUUUAUUUCCUAUGCCAUAUAAUGGUGACAUGUAUUUUGUGAAUUACUUUAUUUAUUUAUUUUAUCGUAAUUACUUAAUUUAUUUGAUUUAUCCUAUUUGUCUUAUGUUUUGUAACUGUUAAUUGAGUAAAUUGAGAUCUUUAGAAGCACAUUUGCUGUUCAAACGAGAGUGCUGCUUUCUCCAUGCUGUAUGGACCACUGAAGGGGACGUGUAUCCCCAAAAAAAUUAAUUGUGCUCUGUGUAUUUCUGCAGACCUGCUUCUUCAGAAUAAAACAUCCUGAGACCUGCUCCACUCGUACUGUCUUCAUUAAGAACAACAAAACACAACCAGAGUAAAACUGCUACACGUGCAUUAAUUCAUGCAUGUCAAAAACAUAAACAAAACAAACCUAACCCUCAUUGUGUUUUAAAAAUAAUAAUGUCUGGUUAAAGUUAUGCAGGCUAUCAACUGAGAAAGUAAUAGGGUUAUUAUGACAAAAUAAUCUGAAACUGAAUCUUUUGAUUAUGCAACCACAGAUACAAGUUAUCAAACGAACUAAAAGAAAAUCAAAACGGUUACAAACAAACUCGAUGGUUGUUGGCUCAUUUCCUAACGACAGACCACCAGUGGCUGUAAUCACUACUAAAUUAUAUCUCAUGACACAAUGUAACCUACAAACUAUUGAGCAUACAUAAACAGUUAUUAAUAAAAAAGAAUCUUGACUUAAUUCGACGCAGAAACGCAAUCACAUUAGCGAAAACAGUUCUGUGAUCCAAGGACAAUCCACUUAAAUUUUCAGUGGCGCUUUAACACAAAACAGUGUCACCGAAAAUCUCAGACACCAAAUAUUUCAGAACAGAGGUAACGAAGCUUCAUUUCCACAGGUCACGUGACAGUCUCAUUUCAAGCAAUGUUUCAGAGCACUAGUGUGUCGAACUACCCAUCCCUACUGUAAACUACACAGAAGUUUACUUUUGUCUGUCAGCUCCUAGUUGUGUCCAGUCAAAAAUGUCUUAUGAUGAUAAGAUGAAGAGUGUGUUUAUUGGCCUGCUUGUGAACUCCGAACUUCUGUUUAUUUCAUUUAGUUAAGACUUCUCGUGCAACAUUGAUGCACUGUAUGCUAAUCAGCCUUUUGGUGCUGUUUGUCCCAGGUGUGUGUUUUAUUCAGUUUUGUCAUGUUCUGUGUUAAAAUAAUAUCAGCUUGAGUGUUAUUAGCACAUGUGCUGUAUGCUUUGCAUGUGCUGUCCUGUGUAACUGUGCCAUUUUAGGGCUGCUUUCUUCUCUCUCUUUAUUUCAUUUAUACAAAAUAUGUAAAAUGAUGGUUAAGUUCAUAGUUUCACUGUAUUAAUGUGAAUUGUCUGUAUUAGUGUUUUAUUUAUUUUCUUCAUUUUCAUAUGUGUGUUUUAUUUAGAGUUUUGUCCACUGCAUGUUCAUGAUCACUUUGUAAAAAUGUGUAAUCAGCAGAGUCGCAUAGCUCAUCCUGCUGUUAAGACUUCUCAUGCAUCAUCAAUGCUAAUCAGCCUUUUGGUGCUGUUUGUCCCAGUUGUGUCUUGUCCCAUGCCCAGUAAAGCAACUUUGAGUUACCA